CGUAGGUCCCGAGCGUUAUCCGGAUUUAUUGGGCGUAAAGCGAGCGCAGGCGGUUAGAUAAGUCUGAAGUUAAAGGCUGUGGCUUAACCAUAGUACGCUUUGGAAACUGUUUAACUUGAGUGCAGAAGGGGAGAGUGGAAUUCCAUGUGUAGCGGUGAAAUGCGUAGAUAUAUGGAGGAACACCGGUGGCGAAAGCGGCUCUCUGGUCUGUAACUGACGCUGAGGCUCGAAAGCGUGGGGAGCAAACAGGAUU
rnacentral:rRNA from 1 species